AUUGAACGCUGGCGGCAUGCCUUACACAUGCAAGUCGAACGGCAGCACGGGGGCAACCCUGGUGGCGAGUGGCGAACGGGUGAGUAAUACAUCGGAACGUGCCCAGUAGUGGGGGAUAGCCCGGCGAAAGCCGGAUUAAUACCGCAUACGACCUACGGGUGAAGGCGGGGGAUCGCAAGACCUCGCGCUAUUGGAGCGGCCGAUGUCAGAUUAGGUUGUUGGUGGGGUAAAGGCCUACCAAGCCUACGAUCUGUAGCUGGUCUGAGAGGACGACCAGCCACACUGGGACUGAGACACGGCCCAGACUCCUACGGGAGGCAGCAGUGGGGAAUUUUGG
rnacentral:rRNA from 1 species